rnacentral:rRNA from 1 species
GACGAACGCUGGCGGCGUGCUUAACACAUGCAAGUCGAACGGUGACGAGGAGCUUGCUCCUCUGAUCAGUGGCGAACGGGUGAGUAACACGUGAGCAACCUGCCCCAGACUCUGGGAUAACAGUUGGAAACAGCUGCUAAUACCGGAUACGAGACGGAGAGGCAUCUCUACCGUCUGGAAAGUUUUUCGGUCUGGGAUGGACUCGCGGCCUAUCAGCUAGUUGGUGAGGUAAUGGCUCACCAAGGCGACGACGGGUAGCCGGCCUGAGAGGGCGACCGGCCACACUGGGACUGAGACACGGCCCAGACUCCUACGGGGGGCAGCAGUAGGGAAUCUUCGGCAAUGGGCGGAAGCCUGACCGAGCGACGCCGCGUGAGGGUACGAAGGCCUUCGGGUUGUAAACCUCUGUCUGGGGGGACGAGUAAGGACGGUACCCCCGGAGGAAGCCCCGGCUAACUACGUG